GACGAACCACACGAACGUUAUUCGGAAUUACUGGGCUUAAAGGGUGCGUAGGCGGCGCGGUAAGUAGGGUGUGAAAUCCCUCGGCUCAACCGAGGAACUGCGCUCUAAACUACCGUGCUUGAGAGAGGUAGAGGUGAGCGGAACUUAGGGUGGAGCGGUGAAAUGCGUUGAUAUCCUAAGGAACACCGGUGGCGAAAGCGGCUCACUGGAUCUCUUCUGACGCUGAGGCACGAAAGCUAGGGGAGCGAAAGGG
rnacentral:rRNA from 1 species